rnacentral:rRNA from 1 species
AUGGACCGGCAGUCGGAGUGGAUCGUCCUGCGGCGCGUGCUGGCCUUCCUCAAGUCGAGGAAGCUCCACCGGGCGGCGUACGCGCUGGAGAAAGAGGCGAGGCUCAAGCUGGACCUGCCGCACCUGCACGACCUCUUCGCCAAGGGCCGCUGGCGGGCAGCGGACGAGUACGUGACGACGUUCAUGAGCGGGAAGGAGAGCACCACGCCAUCCGCGUCCGCCACGCUCUUCGUCGUCAGGUUCGAGCGCCUCGUCCGCGCGCUCAGGCGGGGCGACGAGGCGUGGGCCCUGCGCUACUUCCGCCGCUCCGUCUGGCCGCUGCUGCGCAGCCACCCCGACGAGGCCGCCGCGCGCGCCGAGUGCGAGAGGGCCAUCAUGGACCGCGACUCCCUCCGCCGCAACUACCCCGACGAUGCCGCGUACAGGGAGCAGCGCCUGAUCGAGUUCUAUCGCCGCGUCUAUCAGAACGAGCACAUCUCCCGCUCCUUCAACGAUAUCUUUGACUACAACCUGCGCUUCAUGAGGGGGACGGCCGCCAUCGGCCUGCGCCGCCAUGCACGCCGGACGCGACGCCCACCAAGACCCGCCGCCUAA